AGUGAACGCUGGCGGUAGGCCUAACACAUGCAAGUCGAACGGCAGCACAGUAAGAGCUUGCUCUUACGGGUGGCGAGUGGCGGACGGGUGAGGAAUACAUCGGAAUCUACUUUUUCGUGGGGGAUAACGUAGGGAAACUUACGCUAAUACCGCAUAUGACCUACGGGUGAAAGCAGGGGAUCUUCGGACCUUGCGCGAUUGAAUUAGCCGAUGUCGGAUUAGCUAGUUGGCGGGGUAAAGGCCCACCAAGGCGACGAUCCGUAGCUGGUCUGAGAGGAUGAUCAGCCACACUGGAACUGAGACACGGCCCAGACUCCUACGGGAGGCAGCAGUGGGGAAUAUUGGACAAUGGGCGCAAGCCUGAUCCAGCCAUACCGCGUGGGUGAAGAAGGCCUUCGGGUUGUAAAGCCCUUUUGUUGGGAAAGAAAAGCAGCAGGUUAAUACCCCGCUGUUCUGACGGUACCCAAAGAAUAAGCACCGGCUAACUUCGU
rnacentral:rRNA from 1 species